rnacentral:lncRNA from 1 species
AGAGCAAGAACAAUCCCUUGAUGAGAAGUCAAGUCUUUUUUUGGCCUAGUGUACCCUAUGAAUACUACAACUUUACAAGUUCAGGAACAAGAGUAUACGGCUAAUCAAGUACUACUAUUUACACUUUAAUUCUGAUUAUAUUAGCAUUCCUGCAAGUCACAUUUUUAUGUUCCAACAAUGUAUGGUAGGCACUAAUUUAGUCACUGGAUACAAGCAUCGAGCUCUGACGUCUCAAGUCAAUUUGUCAAAAUGAAUUUCCUUUUCAACUAUACUACAUUUUCUAUGACAUUUCUUAUCUGCAUUUCACAGGGUGGGCUAAACAUCAAAAUGUGUCGUUCAUGAAAUUUUAAUCUAAUGAAAAACAUGAGAUAGUUGCUCUUUGUCGGGGUUGUCUGCUGAUAGUAAGAGGUAAGUUUGCUCCUCAGGAUGUUGUUUCUGUUUAUUUUUUUUUUACCCUGGAACUAUUGUUUGAUUGUUUCUGUUCACACUUUUGGGCAAGAAUAGCACAUGGGUGAUGGGUCUAUCCUGCUUGUACUGCUGCUAUAGCAACGCAUCAAUGGCAUCAGGUACACAUUGUAAUAUUCUGCAAGGCUACAACCGCAGCUAUAUGGCUGUAUCAUCUUGAUCUGCUGUUACCGGUACUCUACAUUGUAAUGGAACAGUACUCAUCCGGGGGGGACCAUUCGUUUGGUCAAUACCACUCCCAAAUAAAUACGGUUGCUGCAUGUGAGACUGCAUCUGAGCUCACUGGCCGGAGAAUCCUAAAGCAUUUUCUAUUGAUUGUUAGCCCAGGGCAAGGCGAAGAUGAAGAUAAAAAAGAAGGUCC